UCGACACUAUGCUGGUAGAGGAGGCAGCAGUGUCGUUCGCGUGCGCUUCCCUGGAUUGUGCCGUACAAAGGAAGGAGAGGGAAGAGGUGGUGUCGAGGGCUUACCUAGACCAAGUUGAAGUCAAAAAAAAGAAAACAGGAAGUUGUGCUCGUGUGCGUGUGGAGGAAGAGAAGGAAGGAGGGGUGGUGGCAUGCUUUGGGUCAAAGUUGAGCAAGGGAGGAGGUCGACUAUGCUCGCAUAACAGAUUAAGGAGAGUCUGUGACAAGAAGGGAUCGAAGGAAGGAGGAAGGCAGGCUCGCGUGGUUGAGCAUGGGUUAGGCAGAGCCGAGUAUAGGAUCGAAGUUAUUUAAUUUUCAAAUUUUAAGGGAGGAGUAACACGAAUUUCAUGUGAGAGAGAAAACAAAGAAUGUCAGCACCGAAAAGAUUUUAAGAGCUCUGAAUAUAGAGAUUUCAGCUUUGAAUGAGGUUUACGAAGCAAGCAAGGGGAAGAGAUCAACUUGAAAGCCUG